rnacentral:rRNA from 1 species
CCUACGGGUGGCAGCAGUGGGGAAUAUUGCGCAAUGGGCGAAAGCCUGAUGCAGCGACGCCGCGUGAGGGAUGAAGUUCUUCGGAUCGUAAACCUCUGUCAGCAGGGAAGAACGGUCACCGUGCUAAUCAGCAGUGAAUUGACGGCACCUGCACAGGAAGCACCGGCUAACUACGUGCCAGCAGCCGCGGUAAUACGGAGGGUGCUAGCGUUAAUCGGAAUUACUGGGCGGAAAGCGCUCGUAGGCGGUAUGUCAAGUCAAGGGUGAAAUCCCCGCGCUCAACGUGGGAACUGCCUUUGAAACUGGCAGACUGGAGUGUGUGAGAGGAUAGUGGAAUUCCAGGUGUAGGAGUGAAAUCCGUAGAUAUCAGGAGGAACAUCAGUGGCGAAGGCGACUAUCUGGCACAUAACUGACGCUGAGGAGCGAAAGCGUGGGGAGCAAACAGGAUUAGAUACCCUGGUAGUC